UACGUAGGGCGCAAGCGUUGUCCGGAAUUAUUGGGCGUAAAGAGCUCGUAGGCGGCCUGUCGCGUCUGCUGUGAAAUCCCGGGGCUUAACCCCGGGCGUGCAGUGGAUACGGGCUGGCUGGAGGCAGGCAGGGGAGAAUGGAAUUCCCGGUGUAGCGGUGAAAUGCGCAGAUAUCGGGAGGAACACCGGUGGCGAAGGCGGGUCUCUGGACAGUUCCUGACACUGAGGCACGAAGGCCAGGGGAGCAAACGGG
rnacentral:rRNA from 1 species